rnacentral:rRNA from 1 species
GAGUUUGAUCGUGGCUCAGGAUGAACGCUAGCUACAGGCUUAACACAUGCAAGUCGAGGGGCAUCGGGAAGAAAGCUUGCUUUCUUUGCCGGCGACCGGCGCACGGGUGAGUAACGCGUAUCCAACCUGCCCACCACUUGGGGAUAACCUUGCGAAAGUAAGACUAAUACCCGAUGAUAUCCCUAGACGACAUCUGAAAGGGAUUAAAGAUUUAUCGGUGAUGGAUGGGGAUGCGUCUGAUUAGCUUGUUGGCGGGGUAACGGCCCACCAAGGCGACGAUCAGUAGGGGGUUCUGAGAGGAAGGUCCCCCCAAUUGGAACUGAGACACGGUCCAAACUCCUACGGGAGGCAGCAGUGAGGAAUAUUGGUCAAUGGGCGAGAGCCUGAACCAGCCAAGUAGCGUGCAGGACGACGGCCCUAUGGGUU